CGCGAACGGGUGAUGUUAUCACGUGGUGUAAGCCUGCCCCGAUGACCGGGACAACCCGAGGAAACUCGGGCUAAUACCGGAUGUGUCCCCUCAUCACACCAGUGCGAGGAGGAAAGGAAGCUUCUGGCCUCCGCAUCGGGAUGGGCCCGCUGACCCAUUAGCUUGUUGGUGAGGUAAAGGCUCACCAAGGCGACGAUGGGUAGCUGGUCUGAGAGGACGAUCAGCCACACUGGGACUGAGACACGGCCAGACUCCAUACGGGAGGCAGCAGUGGGGAAUCUUGCGCAAUGCGCGAAAGCGUGACGCAGCAACGCCGCGUGAGGGAAGAAGGCCUUCGGGUUGUAAACCUCUUUCAGGAGGGACGAAGGUUCAGGCGCGAAUAGCGUCCUGGACUGACGGUACCUCCAGAAGAAGCCCCGGCUAACUACGUGCCAGCCGCCGCGG
rnacentral:rRNA from 1 species